CCCAGUUCGGAUUGCAGGCUGCAACCCGCCUGCGUGAAGUCGGAAUCGCUAGUAAUCGCGGAUCAGCAUGCCGCGGUGAAUACGUUCCCGGGCCUUGUACACACCGCCCGUCACACCAUGGGAGUCGGUAACACCCGAAGCCUGUAGUCUAACCGCAAGGAGGACGCAGUCGAAGGUGGGAUUGAUGACUGGGGUGAAGUCGUAACAAGGUAGC
rnacentral:rRNA from 1 species